CUGUAAAUGGCGUCUGGGGGCCAGGAACGUGGGAAAGAGAAAAAGUGGGCAACCCCCACUCCGAAACUGGCCUCGGCGUCCGGGUUGCGGCCCCUAAGGAAAGCUGGCCCGAAGAAGGAAGAGGAGGAGGAGUAGUUUUAUCCUUAAGGCCUGGGAGAUGCAGAAUAGUCCGAGAGAGAACCAUGUUUAAAACCUUCGAAGGCUGCGUUGGAGGAGGGAAUCCGCUCCAGAGACGGAGUCUCGCCCUGUCGCCCAGGCUGGAGUGCAGUGGCACGAUCUCGGAUCACUGCAACCUCCACCUCCCGAAAUUCAAGCGAUUCUCCUGCCUCAGCCUCCCGAGUAGCUGGGAUUACAGGCGCCUGCCACCAUGCCUGGCUAAUUUUUUUGUAUUUUUAGUAGAGACGGGGUUUUGCCAUGUUGGCCAGGCUGGUCUCGAACUCCAGACUGCCCGCCUCAGCCUCCCAGAGUGCUAGGGUGACAGGCGUGAGCCAACGUGACUGGCCUAAAAAAUGUUUUAUAAAAUUGUAUUUGAACAGGUAUUACAUGUACAUACACAAUUCAAGCCUCUCUGGCUGUAUACAAUAAAAGCAAGUCUCCGCCUCUGGUUCCCAUUUUCCUUUUCUAAAGCACUGGUUCCCGGUUUCUUUCUGGAGCUGCUGUUAUAUUAAAGCAUUGGAGUUAA